AGUGUGGAAAGUAAUAUAGUACUUAAUUUGAAUAUUAAUUUUUCUCGUUUUGAAUAUUAAUUUUUCUCGUAUUUCAAAAACUAUAAAGCUCAGAGAUUGAAAGAUUGAAAGAGUGAGAGAGAGAGAGGGAAAAAGUUAAGAAGAAGGUUUCUUGAUACUCAAGAAGAAGCGCGAGAGAGAGAGAAUCCGUUUUGUUCCUUGUUCUGAAAGAAAGCUCUGACAAGUUUCGGCAAAAAAUGGCAGCGAAGGACGAAGACGGCAACGAUGGUUUUCUAAAGGAGAUGAGAGAUCUCGCUCAGCUGAUGCAGGAUAUUCUUUCUCAAGAUCCUCCUGUUGAUGAAGUUGAGAGCAACCAAGGCGAGAAGAAAGGAACCAGUAAUCAUCAAUUGUCUGGUUUAUCUACUACUUACAAGGCCCUUGUUGCAUAUAAGAGAGAUCAAGUUGGAGAUUCUGAUUUGGCAUCCAAGUACAAGUUGCCUGAUGAUGAAGAAGUUACUAAUCCAAUCGAUUACUCAUCUAGUGACUAUGAUGUUGUAAGAUAUCUACUCUCUCUAGAGAAUGAUGACUCAAAAGAGUAUGCGUCUCUCAAACAGUGCAUGACCAAAACGUAAAUCUGCUUCUCUACCUCUACCUCUCUCUCUCUCUCUCUCUCUCUCUCUCUCUCCAUUUUAUAUAUUCUCUACUAAUCAUAUCUUAAAUGUUUUUUUUUUCACAGAGAUUCCUUCUCCUUAGACCAUCCUAAACCAGAACAGGCGCAGUAUGGAGCUCAUGAGCAUGCUUCUGAUUUCACAUUUGACAUUAGGAAACCUGUGAUUAAUCCUGCGCAAGCUCCUCCUAAACCAAGUCUUCAGAGGCAGAACGCUAUGGUGAGAGAUCAAAAUGGCUUCUCUUAAUGUCUCUUUAUAUAUAUAGCUGAAAUCAAGAUCUUUAUAUAUAAAGCUUGUGUCUUCCAUAUGUUAUAGCAUCGACAAAGACACACAAGUGAACUGGAUCCUGGAUACUCAGCUUCUUUUUUGAAUCAGCCAAUGCCUACAAGUCAAAGCAUUACUACUACUGCAUCUUCACAUGGUCGUAGGCCAUCUGUUUCCAUGACCAAGGUAAAGUCUUUUUUUAAUAAAGCAUUAUUCUUUUUUACAUAGUACUUUGAGUUUUGAUUUUCAUUUUGGCGCAGGCAUUGAUAACAUCUACUGAGUUUGUACCACAGACACAGAGGAACCAACAAGCCAUGAACUCUCAGUGGCAGUAUGGUAAUAUGACUAACUCUCUUUACACGGCACCAAAUCAGAACGAGCGCUACAUUAUGCCACCGUCGGCAACACCAUUUCAGCAGCAACAACAAGGUGGUAGUAACAUAGCGCAUAAUGGUAAUAUGAUUACCUGGCGGCCAGAACAGAACGACAGCUACAACAUACUUCCUCAGUCAGAUGCCUCUGUUGCUCCCUAUGCUUACGGUUCUGUUAACCUCUUUGGCACGUCGAGUGAUAACGUUGCAGCAGACUCGAUGUUUGGCUAUGAAGGUGGUGUCUCAAGGAACCACUUCUCAUCGCUUCAGCAGCAUCAGCGUGGAGAUUCAAAUAUGUGGCCACCUAGUUCCAGACGUAGCCGCCAACAACGCCAGCAGCAGCUUCGGAGUGAUUUCUUUGCAACUCUGAACCAACAAAACGAUAGGAGUGAUCCGUCUGACCAAACCCAACAACAGUUAUGGCCAAGAGACAACUAAAGUAAUCAAAAAUCAGCCAUAUAUCAAUGACGUUCUAUCUAUCUUUAUUUUUGUUACAACUAGGUUUAUCAAGAGUUCUUUCUUUCUUUCUUUAUUAUUGUAAGACAAGCUUUACUCUGCUUAUUAUUGUGUAUAUCUCGGUUAGGGCAUCCUCGAAGGGGGAGCAGUUAGGUGUGUGCUUAGAGUGAAAAUAGUAGUAUAGGGUCUGAUUGGUAAUGGCUGUAGCUUUAAAUAUUUUGCUGUAGAAAAAAAUCUGUAGAUUUUUUGCUGUGGCUUUAGAUUUUAUUGCUGUAGAAUUUUAUUGAAGCACUAAAAAAUUGCUUUGGAUAUUUGGCUCUGCAGAGCACUUGUACAGUUGUAGGUUAUUUUAAGAGCUGUGGUUUCAAAAAAAAAAUUAAAGCUUGAUUGCUCUAAAUUUGGUGCUGUAGAAAUAAAUAAGGCUGUGGACAGCACCUACAUCAACUACCAAUCACCCCCAUAAUAUUGUAUUUAGGCUAGGAACAUGGGACAUUCUAAAAGGGAGAUCACUUAAUUAAGGGUGUGCUUAACCAAAUAAAAUUAAUUAAAUAAUGUAACAAAAAAACUUAUUUUAAAAUUGAUUCCAAAAAAAAAAAGAAACACAAAAUACAAUCGGAAAUUUGUAUGAAACAAACAUAUUAUUUAAUUAAACAAACAAACAUUUUAUUUAAUUAAUACAAAGGAGAGACGAUAAACGAAGGAGACAAGGAGACGAGGAGAGAAAAGAUCAGAGACAAAAUUUUGUUAAGAAUCUAACCGUAAACAAUGGAUAAGAUCGAUUAAAACGCUUAACUCAUACCUACAAACCUAAAUCGAUGAGGAGGAGAUAAAAGAUCGAUUCACGGUGUGCUUCGGUCGGAAAUCGAACGGAACUGGCUUCUCCCGUUCGUCGCCGUUUGUGGAUUCGAGAGACAGAGAGAUAGAUCGCAAACCCUAGGAAAUGGGAAAAAGAAAAACCCGUGUUCCCUUUCAUUUUUUCGACCAAUACACACUUGCCACGUCGACCAGCACUUCCCUUAAGCACAGCUCUUCGACAAGCCCUCCCAAACUGCUCUUAGCCCACUUUUGGAUUAAAUCCAAAUAUAUUAAGCCCAAACACACCCCAUGUGCUCCCCCUUUGAAGAUGGCCUUAUGUGGCUUACGGGUUUGACAAGAUUGACCGAAAUAUUAGUGGAUAGAUUACUCUUUCAGAUCCAUGGAAACUAUUAAGAACAAAGUUUUACAUUAGAAUUUGUCCACGAUACGGCAAGAAUUCUAAUUUUACCACAAAUUUAAUACAAGUUUUCAACUUUACUUUUAAAGACUAACUAUAUGAUAAAUACUUACAUUUUUUGAUGAAAAAUGAUUAAACCGAUCCUACUAAAUUAUUUAUAAAUGUUUAAGAAGUAUUAAUUAAAGUUUAUAAACCAAGUCCACCUGAUAAAUAUCUAAACUAUUAAAACUGAAGUACAAAUAAAUCUUAACCCUAAGUUUUCCUCAAUAAUUACCAUCCAAUGCCACUGACCUUAUAAAUAGCAAUUUAAGUAAAAAUUGUUAUAAAAUUGCCUAAUAUUUAGCUGCCUAAUAUUUAGCUACCUAAUAAAUUUAGAAGAUAUGCAAUCAUUCAUUUAUUCAAAAAAUCAAUAAAACAAUUUUGCAAUCUAUAAAAAAACUAUAAAAUAGAUUCAAUGAUCAGAUUAAUUUAUUGGUUUAUUAAAAAUUAAAUUAAUCAAAAUCGUUUAAAAUUUUCAGAAUAAUAAAAUUAACUCAGUUAUAUUUAAUUAUUUAGCAUCUUCUAAUUUAAUUAGUACAAUAAUAUAUGUAUUUAACUUUUAAAUGUUUAUAAAAAUUAAAAACAAAUACCCGUGCGGAGGCACGGGUUAAGAUCUAGUUAAUUCUUAAACAAUAAUCGCUAAACUUUAAAUUCAAAUGUUAUGAUAUUUUUUUAUUUAAUUUUUUUUUAAAAAGUGAUAUCUAAUUAAUGGUAUUUUAAUCAAAUUUUCAAACUAAUAAUGUAAAUGUAAGAAAAAAAUCAUGUUUUAGUAUUAGAGAUAGAGAGAUAUAGGAAUGGUAGAAGAUGUAAUGUUCAAAGCAAAUAAAGGGUAAAUCUUAAAAAGAGUUCAUGUGUUAAUAGUAUAGAAAGAGUUACCCAAAAAUUACAAUGAGCACGUUGACUACAAAUGGAAUGAAACUGAUGGUCACCGUCACUAGUCUUAUACAAUAAAGGAGAGUUGUCUUUCUCCUCCUGCGUCCAUGUCUAGCUGUUUCGCCUCUUCAAUUCAAAUAAGAAUCAAGAUCAGCUUUGAUUCCCGACAUUCUAUCAUCCCUUAUGAUUAUACUAAUUGUUGAUUAUCCUAUUCCAUAAUUGACAGACAUCCACACUUUCGAAUCCUCAAUUAAUUCACUGUGAACACAAAAUAUUAAAUCAACAUCUAUUAAAUCUUCUAUCUAAAUAUAAAAUACAAUUGUAUAGUGGAUAUACGAUAAUUUAAGAUACAUACCAAGCGAAUGCCUUACCUUAAGUUGAUUUCAGCAUCUAAGCGAGGAAAGCGAGCUUAUCCUCUUGAUUUGAUCGCGGAAACCGGAUGGAGGAGACGAGGAAAGACGAAGAAGAGGGAAUGAGAUGGGCCCCGCUGAAGAGAAAAAGAUUUUGAUUGGUCAUGUAGAGAGGGGCACUUUCGACAUUAACCAUCAAUAUGAGGAGUAUUAGAAUAGAUAAGAGUAUAGCAUAAUAAAUUUUGCCUCAUUAAAAGCAUCCGAGAUUAUUCCUCGAAUCAAACACUCGAGGUGUGGAUUCACAUUCCCUGUAUGAAUACAAUAACGUAUCGAACAGCUUAGCAGGCAAAUCCACGCCGCCGGUUACGAGUAUACCUCUCAAGAUGGACUCUGCUGAUUUGAACUUGCGGUUCUUGGUGAGAGUGUGGAGAACAAUGGCAUUCGUCUCAAGAGAGUGGGAGCCUGGGUUCUGGUGUUUCACCCAGUUGAAGAACUCGAGAGAGAGAGAGAGAACAUAAUUUUUCUGGAUCUUGAGUAGUAUGUUCUUAAACUUGAAUGAAUCCAAGUGGUAUGGUAGCCUCUCGAGCUUAUCCCACUCAGAUUGAAUCAGGUGGCUAUGAGCUACAUUGACGAAGUCAAGAUUUUAGCAUUUGGGUUCAAGGUUGCUCCUGUGGGGAUCGGGAUUGUGUUUAUGUUUCUCGAGACGAGAGGUUUGGAUACAGUAGGGUUUGGAGGUCCUGGAUGCAGCUCACCAUAGCUAGCAAAACUUGAGAAUCGAAUACACAAACAGCAAUGAACGCCGAUGCUUAUGCGGAUCAUCCUAAUACAGUAAGCUUUUGGAGAUUUAACAGGAAAGGCUGGUUUCACUAGAGAAACUAUUUCAGUACGAAUUGAAUCGCAAGCCGUAAAUACCAAUAAGGUUGUUAGCCUUCACCAGUCGGAGAAUUUAGAAACAUUUCUAAAGCAGAUUUAGAAACCGCGGCCGAUUUUUUCUUAUUAGCUAUUGCGAGAGCUUUUGAUCGGAGACGGUGUCGGAGAAAGAGGUAACAAAGGAACUCUAAACUGCUAAACACAAUUUAAAUGGUAAGUAGAAGAUUAGUGAAUCUGAAAUUGCCUUUCUAUUAAGCCCAUUGGACCCUGACAAAAUAUAUUAAUUGUUUAGAGGAAGCCUUUCCACGUAGCUGAUACUCUAAAAAUGAAUUCUAUCUACAGUCAAGUUAACAGUGGUUGUUAUAAUACUUUAGAUUCAAAUCCAGAUGACCAAUUUACACUUUAUUUAUAUGGGUUCAAUAUUAAGCUAAAAAAAUGAUGAGUUUUUUAUUUCAAGGUAACGUAAGAAACGAAUAACAGAUUGAUUUAGGUUUCAGAUUGAUGAGAAGCUAACCUAGGGUGAUUUCAACAGGCACUUGCAAUCAUGAGCUAAACAAUUAUUCAAGUUCAGUUAUGGUCCUAGUCUAGAACUUUGAAAACAAUGCUAGAUUAACCCACUAUCAUGGUGUUUCACCUUUCAUUGAUCAGCCUCAUCGCCUAAGCUAUCGCUUGGGCUGAGAGAUGAUGAUGAACAUUAAGAGUAGAUCUGAUCGGUUCACAAAACACCCUAAUAUCUACUUUCGCUAAUGUAGGAUGCAAUGCUCAUUCAUGACAUAUCUAGCAACCUAUAGAUUAAACCUAAGUUCAUAUAUUAAGUGUUCAGUUUAAUGCAAGCAAUAAGAGCAGUUAUGAAUGAAGACAAUCGAUAGAUAUUUAUCUAUGUUAGCUCACGAUCUAACACCCUAACACCCUAGGCUAACAAGAUCAACUACUAAGUCAUAACAAAAGAAAACACAUAAAUCAAUUAUGAAUAAUACUGCAUGUAAAUAAAAGAGAUAAAAAGAGAGUUCGGGAUAAUCUUCUCUAGGUGAGAGAGAUGAAGUUUUCUCCCUAACAAGUAGCAAAUCGCCAAGUACAAAAGUCUUCAAUAGAUUCUUGUGUAAAAAACUAGCGUAGAAAAACAAAGAGAAAAAGAAAAAGAAAA